rnacentral:rRNA from 1 species
UGGAUGGAAUCUUCGGAGGAAAGAAAUGAUGGAAAGCGGCGGACGGGUGAGUAACGCGUAGGUAACCUGCCCCAUACAGAGGGAUAGCCACUGGAAACGGUGAUUAAUACCUCAUGACACUUUCUCUUCGCAUGGAGGGAAGGUCAAAGAUUUAUCGGUAUGGGAUGGACCUGCGUCUGAUUAGCUUGUUGGUGGGGUAACGGCCUACCAAGGCGACGAUCAGUAGCCGACCUGAGAGGGUGAUCGGCCACAUUGGAACUGAGACACGGUCCAAACUCC